GUGUCAGCAGCCGCGGUAAUACGUAGGGUGCAAGCGUUAAUCGGAAUUACUGGGCGUAAAGGGUGCGCAGGCGGCGUGGCAAGAAAGGUGUGAAAUCCCAGGGCUUAACCUUGGAACUGCACUUUUAACUGCCAGGCUAGAGUAUGUCAGAGGGGGGUAGAAUUCCACGUGUAGCAGUGAAAUGCGUAGAGAUGUGGAGGAAUACCGAUGGCGAAGGCAGCCCCCUGGGAUAAUACUGACGCUCAGGCACGAAAGCGUGGGGAGCAAACAGGAUUAGAUACCCUGGUAGUCCACGCCCUAAACGAUGUCAACUAGCUGUUGGGGCCUUCGGGCCUUAGUAGCGCAGCUAACGCGUGAAGUUGACCGCCUGGGGAGUACGGUCGCAAGAUUAAA
rnacentral:rRNA from 1 species